rnacentral:lncRNA from 1 species
AUGAAUAAGAAUGCCACCACCAGCAGCUCUACAGAGGAAGCAAAUGCCACAAAGUGGAAGUCAUCAAAGAGUUUUUCGUGCACAUCACCAAAGAACAUAGUCACUUAGAAACUUGAACUUCAUAAUAGAGCCUCUGGGAGCAAACAAGAAACAUCAUCUUAAAAUUGCAUCUCUUUCUGGCACAUUUUUC